GAGAAAGCUUGUCUCCAUCUACAACACCACCAACAAAGAUGUUGACGAUCGCCCCACCAACGUUGUUGACCCCGAUGCUGAGAGUGACGACCCGAGUGAAACAUCACUUUGCACACCUUGCAGACCUUCACAAGUCACAUUGUUGGGAGACUGCAAAACGGGUGCUACUGAUGGGGCUCUUCAGUGUGGAUGUCCUCCUCAAGUCCAACCUGAGAGGAGGGGUCAGCAAGCUGGAUCCCUCUGCUGAGCGUCGGCAGGCUCUUGACCCAAGGAAAAUUCAAGCUUUACAAGGGCAGUCAUGGUGAUGAUAUUUUGCAAUCAGCCCGUCGCUUACUACAGUUACUGAGUUCGUCUGGUCAACAAGGUGCAGCCAGUGGUGGUGUCACAAAUCAACAUAUAAGAGAACAGAGACAGACAGCAUCACUUCAAACGGAAAUGACCAGGUCCUUUCCAGGUAUUUUCAGCAGGGGCAGAGGGAAGAGGCACUUUCCCGCAGCAAGUCCUGUUCCUGCCAAGAGGCCUAAACCAUUGGAUGUGGCUUUCUAUUUGUUGCCAAAGCAAUGUGAAA